rnacentral:rRNA from 1 species
AGCUCCAAUAGCGUAUAUUAAAGUUGUUGCAGUUAAAAAGCUCGUAGUUGGAUUUCUGGCAGGAGCGGCCGGCCACGCGCUCUGCGCGUGAGUUUGCGCUGUCUCUGGCCAUCCUCGGGGAGAUCGCGUUUGGCAUUAAGUUGUCGGGCGUGGGAUACCCGUCGUUUACUGUGAAAAAAUUAGAGUGUUUAAAGCAGGCUUAUGCCGUUGAAUAUAUUAGCAUGGAAUAAUAAGAUAGGACUUCGGAACUAUUUUGUUGGUUUGCGUUACGAAGUAAUGAUUAAUAGGGACAGUUGGGGGUAUUCGUAUUUCGUUGUCAGAGGUGAAAUUCUUGGAUUUCCGAAAGACGAACUACUGCGAAAGCAUUUACCAAGGAUGUUUUCAUUAAUCAAGAACGAAA